CGACGGCAGACCCGGAAGUUCGUCACAACUCUCUGCUAGGUGGCCCGAUGGGUCUCUGAGGAGCCGAGACGCCGGAGCCUUGGAGCCUCGCUUUAUGGUGAGUCCGAGCUUUCUCACAACAUGGCGGCCCCGGGGCAGUCAGACGACAUACACGGGGGCCGAAGAUGUCUGGAACAGGUAUUCUGACUAACAAGCUGGCAGCUGCAUGGCCCUCUACAACCCGGUCUCAGAAGUCAGGCGGCCCUUCUGUUGGUUACCAGCGAGUCACAGGCGCAAGGUUCUAGAAGAGCGCGUGGAGUGAGAGAUGUUGUCGUGACCCGUCUGAGGAGCCUAAAAUCUGCUACAGAUGCACCUAGCCUUUUCUAAGAGUAACCAGUUGGUUGUCUGCAAAGGUGUGACUGAAGAGUUUAGGGCAGAGCAAAAGCCAGAGUUUCGGAGGAAGUCUGGUCGGGAGGAGGCCUGGGCUGUGAUCGUGGUUUGUCAAGGGAAAUCUGCUCAGAGGAGUGAAUGAACUUUUGGGAAGGGGAGAGUCACAGAGCCGGAGGCCUGGCGUUGUCCAGGGUGUGGGUUCUUGGCCGCACUGGCCGGAGCAGCAGCCACCACCCCCCCCCCCCCCCCCCCCCCCCCCCCCGCCAUGUCCCUGGGCAAGGCCGUCCCCUCAAGCCGCCUCUGCUGAGAAAUGCUUCUUCUGAAUAAUCCCGUUACUUGUUCCCACUCCCUCCCACCAAGCAGCCCCGCAAGACCAUGGACCCGUACGGAGCUUUCCCUGCCGGGAAGCACAGGCUGGUCAGGCUAACAUUUCUUGUGCUCUCCGUUAAUAGAUGGAUCGUCUGGUGAUGCGUCAGCCUCCCAAGAUUGGCUAAGGGGAGUCUGGCCCUGCCUGGCGUGCGGGUGUAUCCCAGACUGUUCUGACGGAUUCACCAAGGUCGGCCGGUGGUGAUCUGUCCGUGUGGCCGGCGCUUUUUCCAGCGCGCAUCCACCUGCACCUCCUCGUGUGCCUUCUGUGAACCACCACGGGGGUUAUCACCCCACUUUCUAGAUGAGAAGGCCGAGGUGCAGUGAGGAGGCACGUUUUGCCCGCGGUCAGGCCGCCGGUAAAGGUGCGGUUGGAACAGCGGUCCAGGUGUGCGUGCAAACCGCAAACCUCUUCAUGAAGGUCGGGGCACGCACCCGAUGGCAAACCCGUCGGACGGUGUGCUGGGAGGAAGGGAAGCCUUGAGUCACCAGCUCACGCCAGCCUCCUGAGAGCCCUGUGGCCCCAACAAAUUCGUAAAAAUAGAAAACCUGGAGGGAUUAAAGCCCCAAAGGACGCUUCAAGUCCCCCGCGGGAAAGGGAGGCUUGCCGUAUGUUUUCUGAUGGUCUGCAUUCAAAUUUAUUUUUUUUUAUCUCAGCUGGAUGUACACUCACCCAUCACAGGAUCAGCUCUCAGAAUAGAGAGGUACCUGUUGAAUCAUCCACCCCACUUCCUGCCUCGUGCGGGCAUCUCUCCAAGUGCUGAGCCAUCCGCUUCUCUGCUGGGGCCUGAGAUAUAUCAGGAUUUGCAGCCCUGGUGACAGGAGACAAAAUAGACUCCCAUUUCCUUUGGAACCAUUUAGCUAGUUGAGAGAGUGCUUGAUUGUUUCAAUGGGAUGAGCCAUGAGCAAUAACCAGGUCUCUCCUUGGCUCCUUCUCUCUGCCCUAUGCUUGUUCUUCUUCCGGAAGCUGGGAGGUGGUGGGGACCAAGGCACACGCUGGUUUUGGCUCAGUCUGGCUCUUGAGCUAAUAGGUGGCCCCCCCCCCCCCCGCCGGGACCUCAGGCCCACUUUCUGCAACACAGACGUCGUUCUCUUUCCUUCUGCCCGCCUUGGCUCCCGCUGGCCUUAGGACUAGAAACUGUGCCUGGUGGGUGCCUGGGGAGACUUGUUGGGGCUAAGUGACUGCAGGUGAUAUUUAAGGAGGUCUCAUGGGAGAUACGGUUUCAAGGCAAUGAAAACAGACAUCCGUGGGGACAGACUGUCUGAAUUUGAAUCCAGGUCACCGCUAGCUUCAUGGCCUUGGGCAAGUCAGGCAACUGAGUCUCUGCUUCCUUGUCUGUUAAAUGGGUGGAAUCAGAGGAAGUGUAGGUAGUGAGAAUUAAGUCAGAUCAUACGUACAGUGCUUGAAAGAGUGCCUUAAUCCAGGCCAGCUGAAUUAGCAUGGUCACCAGAAGCCUGUGGGGCUUUGACUGGAGCGAUCGAUGGCCACUUGUGGGGACCCUGGCCCUGAGUUGGCCACUCAGAGUUCAGAGAGAGAACCAGUCAUGAGCUCAAGUAGCUCAAAGUCUAGUGGGAAAGCAGAUGUGUCUGAUGCAGGAGUGCAAUACCUAUCAAGUGCUUAACGAACUAUGUUUUGAGUAGACUUUUAAAAAACAGAUUUCACAUGGAAAUCCAGAUUUGUGGCUUCUCUUAUGAUCUAGCAACACUGGGUUGGCUUUCCUGCACGGUGAUAAGAAGCCGGAGCAGAAUAACUGUUGUAGCCUAGGCCAGGGUUUCUCUACUUUGCCCCAGUCCCCACUCUUCCCUCCUGCAUCCUGUCCGCCCAUAUGCAUGUUCAAGUGUGCUUGCUGCCUGGCCCUUUGGGAAUUUGCAGACAGAUUACGAUGCAAUGCUGUGAAUGCACUGGGAGCACGAUGAGGGAUAAUAACUCAUCCGUGGGCAGUCGGGAAGAGCUUCCCAAAGGAGCCGAAGUCCCAGUUGCCUCUCUGUAAUACCCGCCAAUGCUGCAGAACAUCCUUGUCUUUAUGGCUCAAGGAUGUGAAUAGAGGACACAAAGUCCUCCGAGCUGGCGGGAUCUCUGCCAUAAAGCAACCAAGGCUCAGUGGCUUGUGUGGUCAUACAGCCAGCUCGUGGCACAUCCAGGCUGUCAAUCAGAAGCAGCCGUGGGCCUCGGGAGUCUGCAAUUUGUACUCUGGAAUCUUGAUUCCCUCUCUGCCACCCUCCUGCAGCAUGGCCAUGGGUAACUCAUUUCAUCUUCAACCUCGGUUUCUUCAUCUGUAGGGUAGGGCUGGGGAUUCUGACCUCAAGGGAGUGCUCUGGGGCCAGAUAGCGAGAAAAUGGGUAGGGGACACUCAUAAGCUCCGAAGCGCUCUAGGCCUGUGAGAGGCAUCACGAUGAUGGAGAAAUAGCCACCUUCUUCGAACAGAUUUGGUGCAUCUUUUCAAUGUUACGGGGACCUUGUCCCCCACCUGCUUUUGCCAUUGUCUCUCCUUUGCAUGUAGGAGCGUGCACAGCCUUCUUCCAGGCGUGGACCCAGAAAGGGAACGUUUUGGGAUUCUCUGGCCUUGGCUGUGAACAGGACUCCAGGCGCAGAGCCCAAGGGCUCCCCUCUUUCACGAGGCUCCCACAUCAAAAGGAGAUGCUGAGCUAGAGCUGGGAAGGAAGCCGACCUCCCUGGGCAAGAGAGGAGAAAUGUCGGUAGCUACUUUGUUUCCUUUAAGGCACCUGCCACUGCGCAUCAGGGGCUACGUUCAAAUCCCCGGUUAGUGCCUGGAACUAUUGAGACAACGUGGCAUUGUGGGCGACUACUGGAUUUGGGAGUCCCGCUGUCCUGAGUGCAAAUAUUGACUCCUCCUUAUUAGCUGAGUGUGUGCCUUUGGACAAAACUUUAAGCUUCUCUAAACCUCAGUGUCUUCAUCUGCAAAAUGGGCUUCUUAAAAGUACCUGUUUUUUUAGGGCUUUGUAGGAGUUAAAUGACAUUAUGUGGUGAAGGGUUUAGCAUAUAGUGAACAGCUUAAUAAAUGCCAGAUAUGAAUUGCUGUUAUUGGAAAUGGUAACAAGAAACGUACAUCAUGUUCGUACAGCGUUUUACCAUUUAGGAACUGGUCGUGUUUUCCUUAGCCCAUUUGACAGUCCCAACAACUCUUUGAGGUGGUCAGGGCAGGGAUUAUGACCUCGUGGCACAGGUGAGAAAACCGGAGCCCAGGGAGGGCAGAAGUCUGCUCGAGGUCACACAGCUUGUGAGUGGUAGAGCCAAGCUCAACUCUCCUUGGAUGAAGGAUGAGCAGUGUCAUUCGCAGGGCCAGGCCAGACCACCUGCACGUGCCGUUGGGCUGCUCCUCGGGCACUCUGGUUCUUCCAAAGACCCGUUUAUAGAGAAAUAAUCCAGUGGGUUUACCUAUUUAAACCCUUGUCGUACCUAUUUAUACGCUGAGCCUAUACCAGCUCCGGGGGUGAAGAAACUUGUCCUUGUGCCCUGGUGUCAGACUGACUUUCUUGGCAUCUGUCCCCAAAUGACCUCCGCGGGGGUUUCCAGCUGCCCCCUCGCACCCUGAUCCAUUUACCAGAAUAGCCAUGUGUUCUGAGCUCUGGCCACAGGAUGGCGCUGCUCCCCAAGGCAUGAAAUGUCCAGCCCCUCACCAGGACUGCAUUUCCAGGAGUUACAGGAGGUUGGGACCGUGUCUCUCUUGAUUACCACCAUCUCCAGCAUCGAGCACAGAACAGCAUGUAAUGGGAGCUGAAUGAAUGAAUGACUGGAAAGCAUCAGGAUGGUCCUCUAAUGCCUCUGGGAAUCAGGCUGGGGCAUCACCAGGAAGGAGGACUCAAAUGCCUUUGCCAGGGAGCAGUACCUUUCACUGCGUGGCAACAGAGAAGCUUGUGGCAGAGUAAAGAGAGCCAGGCCUCUGCAAUGGGCAGCCUGUGGGACUCUCAGCAAUCACCCGGCCAUGGGUAAUUACCUACCCUCACUGCACUUCUGUUUCCUCACUUGCUGGACCGGGACCCCCGUCUCCACAAGAGAGGGCUGCAGAGCCCAGAGAGGGGAGGAUCCGACUCUUUGAUCUCUGCUGGAUCUCCGGCACCCGGCACAGUGCCUGGCUGGGUGUAGAUAGUAGUUUUUGAAUGAACAAGUGUAGAGUGUGUCCAGGGAUUAACAUUGUGAAAAUGGGCCUGGUCCAUUGUAGGUGUUUGAUAAAGGGAGACUUCAAAUGCAGGAUUCUUGUAACAAGACCAGAGCUGGAAGAUUUCCUGAAGUGGGGGAGAGAAAAGCGCUCCCUGCCUGGCUGGAAUUGCUGUGUGUAUGAUGCCCUGCAGAGAGAGAGAAGAGAGCAGGCUGGAUGCCUUCCAAAAAUCAGAAGGGAAGCUGAUUCCUACUUGGGAGGGUGUUAAAAUCUUAAGGGCAAGGCCAACAGACCGAGGGGAGAAAGUGAAGGAGAGAGAGAAAUGUGUGAGCAUCUUUUCCAUUUUUUUUUUUUUUUCUGUUUUCUUACAGACAAAUGCCUGGAAACCUGCGGCAUCCGGCAAUUCCCUGGCCGCGGCGUAUAGUAAGCACUCAGGAAAUAGUUGAGCCACUUGGAGCUUUAUGAUGUUUUAGGACUCCUCAAGUGCAUGCGUUUAUGACAGAAUAGUUCCUGUAAGGAGAAUGUCGGCGCUCCUACCCGAGGUCUUGCAUGAGGGCGCGUCACGAGGGGGAGGACGUUUGUUUGCUCUGCCCACCAUUGCAGCCCAGCGCGGGGCACAGCGCCUGGCACAGAGAAGUGCCGGACAGCAACUGUGGAUAAUGGGGGCCGCACCAUGUGGCACGAACCUCGUGGCGAGAUGACCGUGGAGCCGAGGCUUCUGGUUCCAGAAUAUCAAGCUGGCGCAGAGCUCUCUGGGACCCUAAUGAAGCAGGCAGAUGGUGAAAUCCUGGUAUGGUUCUGGUGCCCGGGGGCACAAGGCAGUUCUCAAAUUCUUGUCCUCUUCCAACUGCUCUCAGUGCCCACGGCCCUACAGAGAUUCAGUGAGACCAGGGACUGGCAUGGACUUUGUGCCUGCAGGGAAUGAGCCCGCAGACUUGUCAUUUCUAGGGGGCCGUCCAGAUGUCCCGCUUGGGCUGUCAUAUCACAUUCAUACUCAGGGCCUACCGUGUGCCAGUCCCUGCCCAGGUACUGGGUACCCGGCCAGUGGCCAAAGUAGGAAUGUUCUGCCCUCAUGGAGCUUCCCGAUCCACGGAGGACGUUGACAGUGAACAAAGCAGAGCUGAUAAUCACAUCUGGGAUAGUGCCACAGAGGAAGUGGUCAAGCGCGUGGCUUUGCCAGAGAGGAGCUCCUGUCGGAAGAGGAAAUACCACCCUGCCCGGUGGGUAGGAAACUUCAGGCCUUUGGGAGUGAAAGAGACGAUGGGGGACGGAAAAUACCCACAGCUUCCCAGUAGAUGUAGACAGAGUCCCACUGAGAGACUCCUAACGCAUUGUUAAGGCAAACCGGGAAGGCAGGGUUCCAUCCUUUCGAUGGGGAGGUCCUAGACAGCAACCUGACUUCUCCCCAGUCGGAAAAGAGGCCGGGGUGGGGCCGUGUGGGAGAGGGCGUGGGCAGAAGCCCAUCUACCAUGGAGAUCCCGCUGGCAUUUCUCGAAGAGGAGAAAAGGAGAGGAGGAAGGGAGUUAACGCUGGUCAGAUGGCUUCUCUGCGGAGAACUGUAUGCUAACGUUCCACAAGCCUCACUUCCUAGAGGCCCUCCAGGUCUUCAUCUUACAAGGGAGAAACUGAGGCUCAGAAAGGUUAAAGUAACUUGCCCAAGGUCACUCAGCUAGUAAGGGUGUGCUGUGCCUUCUUGACUCAAAAAGCCACACUCCUUCCUGUGGACCAGGCUGAGUAGCAGCAGACCAGCCAGGCGAGGGAGGGAGUGAGACCAGAGAGGCAGGACCCAGGGGCCACUGUAGGGAGGGGGUUGAUGGCAGGGUGGGGGGAGAGAGACGGUGAGGGGACAAGGGGACACAGGUGGAACUCGGAUGGACUGGGCUGGGCUUUGCUUUCUGCGCCAGACUGACUUGGGUUCAAAUCCCCCCUGUGCUGGUUUGCUAAUACCUAGCAGGUAGAGGGAAAACCUUGACUAUCCCAAUUCCCCGUGCUGCCCCUCCCCCAGCCUGCCGCCCCAGGAGGAGGCCCCCACGGCUCCUCUUGCCUCGGCCGCCUGAGUAAGCAGUCCUCCAGAAGAGCCUGACUCAUUCGCCUUGGCUCCCUUCCACCAGAGCUCCAGGGAGGACAGUGGCCCAGUGGCCCCGUACCUUCUAGCGUGGUCUGACUACCCAGCCUCCUCUGGGAGCCAGAAGGGGACAAUCCCCUCGGGACUCUGCGGCUGGUACCUGCAGAAGCCUCGGCCUCCCAAGUUGCCUCUCAUCACCCAGCACGCAGCUGUGCUGCCUUAUUGUAUGUGCUUGUGUGUUAAUGUGUCACUGUCCCUCAUCAGACGGUGAGCUCUUGCAGGGCAGGGAUGAGCCUGAGUCAUCUCCGGUCCCUGGUGCCCACGACAGGAUCUGGCAUAACACGCGGGCCGCUCAGCAAAUAUUUGUCGAAUUCCCUUCCUAAUCGAACAGGAAAUUUCCCUGCCCUUGCCUGGGGACGAUCACCGUGGGGGAGACAGAGUCCCGUGGCCUCGGCUUCCGUUUGCUACCUUCACCCCGCUGCCGCGGCCCUUGGAUGUGAGGCGUACAAGGCAUCUGCCACAUUCCGGCCUUGUUUCCUCCUCGUGCUUUCGUUCCAGCCCAUUCUCACUCUCUGUCUGGGAAAAUCACAAGGAAACUCCACGUUUUGCUCCUGGAAUUCUUGCCAGCGUGAUUCAAGCCGAAUGGAGCACAUCCCACACAAACAAAGACGUUGCCACUUUCAGCGCGGUGGCUUCCUUCCUUCUGCCGGCCCGGGCCCCCCAUCUUGCCCAGGCAAGAGGGGCAGAGUGCAUGCGGCCCGGUUCUCACCUACAAGGCCCCCCACGUGUUCUCAUCUGGAAAAUGGAGAGGGUCACAGCACAAGAUGAUUAGAGGAUUAAGGGAGAUACAGCGAAAGUGCCGUGCAGCGCUCGGUAGACGGUGGGCACUCAAUAACUGCUGGCCACGAUGCUGAUGCCCUGUGUCGGUGUCAGCACAUGUUCUCGGAGCUCAGGCCUUCGUGGGGCCGUGCGUUCCUCGGCUAUAAGCCCCGUGACCGUGAAAUCAAUCACUUUCGUGCUCGGCGCUCCCAGGCGCUGCGUGUGAGAGCAGGAUUGCGUGGAGGCUCCCGUCCAAAUCCAGUGUCGAGAAAUGGAACGGGGAGCUGGGCGGACACAUCGAUUAGGCACAUUCCUGGCUCGAGUGUGGCUCUCUCCAGUCCCCUCCCUGCAGGCUGGCGAGCAAAAUUCAGGUGCUGACCUCCUGAGAACACCCCUUAGGCUGAAACCUAUUGCCCCUUUUGUCAGAGAUUAUGUGAUCUCCAGGGAAGAAGAGGUGUGGCAUCUCACCUCUGCCACUUCUGAACUGAGUAACUUGGGACAGAGGACUCUCCCGUGCCUAUGAUGCCCUCGUCUACGCAUGGGGUUGAUAACUGCCCUCCACGAAGGAUGUCGGGGGGGCUUGGCACCGACUCGAGUGUCAGGGGCUUGGCCGAGGUCUGUGCUUAAGAGCAGCUGCCCCUUCACCAGUGAUGCUGCUGUCCCCAAAUCUCUCACUUUUAACUAGGGUCCCCCUUGUGAAGGCCUGGGUUACCCUCACUGGAAACCUGUUUUGGGAACUAGCCCCCCUGCAUGUCACCGAGGGAAAUGGGCGUCAAAACUGAUGGCCCCCUAGGUGGGGGGGAGACCUGGCCCAGAACUUGUCACAGGAUGAGCACCUCUGGGAUGAGAGGCCAAGUGGCCUAAUGGGCCGGGGACUCAGACUGGCUGGAUUUGAGCAGUGUUUCCACGCUCACUCCCAGUGGGGCCUUGACAAGUUCCUUAACUGUUCUGAGCCUCGGUUUCUUCACCUGAAAAAUGGGUGUGAUGAUAUCCCUCUUUGUGAGACCAGAGAAUUAAUGGCAGCUUAUUAAUUAUAUUCUAAGGCACUAUUCUUAGCCACCCUGUGAUGUCAUCACAUCUAUAAAUAGCCUCACCUGACAGUUGGAGAAACUGAGGCACAGAGCGGUCACUAACUUGCUCAGGGCCACUCGUUCAUCCCAUUUCCUGGCGCGGUCCCUGCUCCUUCCUCUACUCUCCUCACAUUUCCCCAAACUCGCCGGACGAACCCACGCCUCUUGGCCUCUGUGUUCCUUCUGCCUGCAGUGACUGUUUCCCCACCUCUGCUUGACUCAAUUUGGUGUGUCCUUCAAGGCCCAGCUCAAGUGUCUCCUCCUCCAGGAAGCCCUCCUGCCAGGGCACUAGAGGUAGGUGCUCCUGUAGCCUGGCAUCCCCUCGACGCAGGCUCACACCCCCUGCACAGUUACAAUGGAUUCAAUCUCCAGAGCACUUUCUUUCUCCCGGGCACGUGCAAGGCCGUCCGUGCCCCCUCUGCAGUGGGGUUGGUCUUUUCUCCACCUCGUGGCUGGGGAGACGGGAGCUGAACUCAGGUUCACUCUCCAGGAGGCAGCUGGGAACGCAUCCCUUUUAACUUGGCUCUUUUCUGGGACCCUGGCCUAGGUGUGUCUAUGGCCCCAGGGCCCUACACCACGUGGCGAUUCAAACAAUAGCUGUCCAAUGAAUCCUGAGCCCUCAGGAUGUGUCUCGAGAAUAAUAAUAGCUAAAAACCCAAAAGACCUCAAUCAAGGACCCCAGGUUCCCAUCCCCCCUGGCUGGUUCAGGCAAGUCCUGAUCGGAACAGAAGCCCCGCGAGAGCAGACCCCUGGGUGCAUCUGUCAACACGUGCCUAUUCCAGGGUCUGGCUGGAGGAAGUGCUCAGACCGUACGAAGUGACAGGGAGAUGUAUUUCCCCCUCGCGGGUGACAUCUUGGACGGCCCUGCUCUCUGUGGACCCAGUCUGCUUUGGGGCCCCUAAACCUGAAGGUCUUUGGUUCCGGCCAAGGGGUACGUAGAGGAAAGAGUGAUCCCUGCACUCCCCCAAAUCAGAGAAAUUGGAGGUUUGAUGAGUGCUUCACGCACACAGAGAAAUGACAAAGCGAUAUAAGAGUGAGAGCCUUCAGAAUACCCAUCUUCUCCAGCAUCCUGCGUUUUUUUCUUUUUAGAGCAAAGCCCUGUAAUAUUAAUAAACGGCGGCGAGAAGGGAAAAGUGACUGUUUCCUUUUGACAUGGCGAAGAUCACAGGGCCUGGAGGACCUUUAAUCUUUAUUAAUGUGUCUCAGGGGGGCCUCUCCCACAAGCUGUGGGAAGCAGACAUGCAACGAGUUUGCUUGCUCGCGGUCCUCAGCAUCCCUGGGCGCCUCAGAUGACUGCCUGAUACUGUUCAGAGUGCAGCAAAGCCACGUCAUGGGGACCCGCUGUGUCCCAGGCAAGAACAAGGCAGCCCUAACCCAGCUCCCAUCUGUGGGGGGCUGGAUGACAAGGGAAAUUCAGGACACGGGCCUCAGUCACAUGGGCCCGCUUCUAACCAAGGGCACCGAUGCCCUGAAGAGGCUCAGAAGGAACCAGGCUGUCAGUUGCAGGGACAAGCACAAAUCAUGCCUAGGAGGGGCCACACCUGAGUUCAUUAAGGAGCACGUCCAAUAACCAACACCCUCAUUUCCAAGGGCUCUCCUCCGCACUGCCUGGCCAACCGCUGCUUUCCCGCCCCUCCUUCCCUCUGGCUGGGCUGUGCACCAGGGGGCCAAAAAGGUCUGUAACUUGACACCGUGCAGACCUAAUUCCACAGACGUAGUGAGUCAGGAAUUGCAAGGCGGGUUCGGAGCGCACAACAGAAUUGAAAAGUGUUAUAGUAAGGAUAGAAGAGCCAAGAAAGUUGCAGGGUCUCUCUGUCUCUCUCUCUUUCUCCUUCUCUUUCUCUCUCGCUCUCUCUGUCUCUCUCUCUCUCUCUCUCUCUCUCACACACACACACACACACGUGCGCGCAUGCUGAGAAACCGAGUGGCAUAUUUUGACAUUCAUUCAUUCAAAAAUUCUGAAAACCACUCGGUGCUAAGCACUAUUCUGGGCACUGGGGAUCCAGUGAUGGGAAGGACCGCCAACGUUCCUGUUCCCCCAGAGCUUACGUUCAUCCCAGUGUUCUUGGGGGAGUUUCUCCCGUGGCCAGGAUGGCGCAGGUUAAUCUCAAAAGCCACGUUACAAGACAGAGGGGGCGGGCACCAUUUGUACCCUCACUUUCCGGACACGGGAUCUAAGCUCAGGUCAGAGGCCAGCCUGUCUGAGGCCACCCGCUAGGGUGGGGGACCAGGAUGGGAGCUUGGUUUCCAGGCCUUUUCUCUUCCUACUCACUGCUCAGAGGCCACGAAGAAGCCCGAGCUGAGAGGCCGGUGCUAUCUGGGAGGAAGAACCCGGUGAAGUGUGCUCAAAUAAAGCAUCACCUAAUUCGAUUAUGUUUGCUAGACUGCAGUGUAAUAAAACGGAGUUCCUCAUAAGCAUCAUCUCCUAAUGUUUACAGAACAAGAAAGCAGAAUUAAGAUAGGAAUUUCCAGGGAGAAAAGCAUGUGUUUUAGGCUGAAACGUAAAGAGAAUAGACCCGGAAGAAAUCGAUUCCUGAUUUUACAACUCAGCUCGGAUGAGGGGGUACACUGGGCGGCUGGCUCCUUGGGGAGGGCCUGGCGGAUGCCCCCAGGUGGCUGCUGGGGGUGGAGGUUCCCACCGGAAGGACCCCAGGACGGGGCAGAGGGGCCAAUGGGAGGAGACGCCUUAUCGGGAAGAAGUGUUGGCAAGGAGAAGCCUUGGGGACCUGCUGGGUUUGUUCCAAACGCCUCCUCGCUCCUGUCCUCCCAGCGCCCACCAUUCUGUCUGUCACAUGCAGACAGAAUGAUUUUUCUAGUAAGAGUAGAGCCUGGUGAUGAGCAUGUGGGUCCUGGGGCUGCCUACGUUCGAAGCCUGGUGUGCCCCUUCCCAUGCUGUGUGACCCCAGGCAGGUUACUUGCCCAUUCUGGACAUCCAUUUCCUCACCCACAAGUCAUGAAGCUAGAAUGAGCCCAUGUGCAUGAAGCACUUAGAGCGGCACCUGGGCCCUAGUAGAUGCUGAAUUAACAAGAGCUGCUCUCAUUAUUUUAAAUCUGCAUAUACCCCUCCCUUUUCUAAAACGUUCGUUCGUUGCCCUCAGGGGAAAGCCACACUUCCCAGCCUGGCAGUCAAGGCUUUUGGUGAUCUGGCCUCUGCUUAGGACCCCGUUGUCCACCCUGGAACUCACGACUCCCUCUUUUGUGCCUCUGCUGAGCCCCCUGUGGAGUUGGGUCCCUCGAACUGAUUUCAUUGUUCUGCUCCCGUGGCCCUUGACCUCACUCGACAGUUAGGGCCUGGCCCUCGUUUCUAAGCUCUGGGUCCUGUUCAGGACGUAGCACUGCGCCUCAGGCAGUGGCUGCUGGGUGAAUUUGGCCAUUUAACGGGGAGAAAGGCCAGAAAGAGCGCUUGCGACCAGUUAUUAUUAUAAAGUAAGCACAUGCCUGGUGAUGGGGGAAAUGUUAAGUCCACGCAGCAGCUUGGGAGGCUGUUCAGAUGAUUUCCCUGGUUCAAAACCCUUUGAGAGGAAGAGCCUGGGGAGGGAAUACUGUGUUUUGCCAUCACAUCGCCUCUGGAUCAGGGAGGAAUAAAGCGAGGGUUCAUGUUUCUCCUUCGAGAAAUUAGGUCACUGGGUGUUGUUAAAGUGUGCCUUACAGAGCUAUGCUAAUCAGUUCUCUUCUGGCCUAAAUAUCUGGUAAUUAUCUUGGUUUUUUUUGCUUUGCCAGACUCGGCUUCCUAAAGCAGUUCAUCUACGCGGCUACUUGUCAAGAUCUUCAAGGGUAAUGUUAACCACGACCACCAAGUGGCAAAGCCCGCCCAGCGCCUGCCUGGUGCCGGGCACUGUUCUAAGCGGUUCAGGCGCACGGACGUCUCAGAUCUCUGCACAAUCAGGAGGAAGAUGGUACUACUGCUCGCUGCUUCCGGGGCCUUUGCUACCUCUGCUGAGUUCCCGGCCCUCUCUUCUUCCUCGCCCCUGGCUCCCCCUGCCCACUCCACAAAUUGUCCUGGCUACGCGGGGGCAUGUGGCUUCCUCGGUAUAAGCCAGAGCUCCACGGGGAUCCAGCUCCCUGCCUCCCCACCCACCCCGUGACAUCGGCCUGCCUCGGGUCCUUACCCCCCCCCCCCCCCAUGCACCCUCUGAGGCCUGGCUGGAGUCUCGACUCUGCCAGAAAGUUCUGUCUGAACUCUCGUGGCACUCGGAGUCCAAACCACCUGCUUUACUCUGUGGCGGACCAAUGGUUGCCAGCAUGCGUGUGCGUGGGCACGUAUGAGCACGUGUGUGUGCAUGAGUGUGCAUGUGCGUGCAUGCUCCUGUGAUCACGUUCUUUCCAUACUUAGAUUAUAAACCGUUUGAAUACAGGGAUCAAGUCUCCCUCUGCCUCUCAGCCUCCAUAGAACACUGAUCUAACUAUAAGAUUCUCCUUACACACUUCGUUCAUCCAAAAAAUAAAAUCAAUAAUAAGCCUAUAUUAAACACAGUCCACCGUGUGCCAGGUACUGUGACCAGCACCGGGGUGUUGGCCUAGACGGUGAUUGACUAUCGAUGGGAGGGCAAAUGUGGAAAAAGAAUUUAAGGAAAAACCCAAUCGAUCCGGGGCAGUUCAUCAUUUGGCGCUCAAAACUCCACAACCCAACUUUUGACCUAACAUACGAGGUGACGUCAAUUACAAAUAACAUUCACCUUGACAUGUAAAUACAGAUUCUAUAGGCUUAA